AUGGGGCCAUUUCACCUCCCAUUUUGGGGCCAUUUUGGGGUGUUUUGGGGCCAUUUUGGGGUCAUUUUGUGCCAUUUUGGAGCCAUUUGGGGCCAUUUUGGGGUGUUCUGGGGCCAUUUUGGGGUGUUUUGGGGCCAUUUUGGGGCGGUUUUGGGGCCGUUUUGGGGUUUUGUGCCAUUUGGAGCCCUUUGGGGUCAUUUUGGGGUGGUUUGGGGCCAUUUUGGGGUCGUUUUGGGGUCUCACCUGCUUGUUGUAGUGCUCAGAAUCCUCAAAACCCCAAUUAUUGAAAUCCCACCUCCCAUUUUGGGGCCAUUUUGGGGUGUUUUGGGGCCAUUUUGGGGUGUUUUGGGGCCAUUUUGGGGCGGUUUUGGGGCCGUUUUGGGGUCUCACCUGCUUGUUGUAGUGCAUGAUGCCCAGGGUGGGGAAGACCCAGGUGCUGGCCGGUGGCACGAUGUCGCUGUCAGCAAAGUUCACCCACUGCAGGACCUGCGCCGCCCGCUCCCUGGUGGCCCCGCGCAGCUCCUCGUUGCUCACUGCACCAAAAACGGCCCCAAUUGCAUUAAUUAGGCGCUUAAUUAACCCACGACAUGCAAACACAC
rnacentral:lncRNA from 1 species